CCCAGACUCCUACGGGAGGCAGCAGUGGGGAAUAUUGCACAAUGGGGGAAACCCUGAUGCAGCGACGCCGCGUGAAGGAAGAAGUAUUUCGGUAUGUAAACUUCUAUCAGCAGGGAAGAAAAUGACGGUACCUGACUAAGAAGCCCCGGCUAACUACGUGCCAGCAGCCGCGGUAAUACGUAGGGGGCAAGCGUUAUCCGGAUUUACUGGGUGUAAAGGGAGCGUAGGCGGCGAUGCAAGUCAGAAGUGAAAGCCCGGGGCUCAACCCCGGGACUGCUCUGGAAACUGCGUCGCUGGAGUACGGGAGGGGCAGGCGGAAUUCCUGGUGUAGCGGUGAAAUGCGUAGAUAUCAGGAGGAACACCGGCGGCGAAGGCGGCCUGCUGGACCGUGACUGACGUUGAGGCUCGAGAGCGUGGGGAGCAAACAGGAUUAGAUACCCGUGUAC
rnacentral:rRNA from 1 species